rnacentral:pre_miRNA from 1 species
GAGGGGAGUGCAGGAUUCUGGGCUGUGUCCCCGCACCCUGUGCUCCAGGGCCCUGCACCUGGAAUCGCGCUCCCAGGGCCACACAGCCCCCU